UACGGAGGGGGCUAGCGUUGUCCGGAUUUACUGGGCGUAAAGCGUGCGUAGGCGGUUCGUUAAGUCUGCUGUGAAAGCCCCCGGGCUCAACCUGGGAAUGGCAGUGGAUACUGGUGAGCUAGAGUGUGAUAGAGGAUGGUGGAAUUCCCGGUGUAGCGGUGAAAAUGCGUAGAGAUCGGGAGGAACAUCAGUGGCGAAGGCGGCCAUCUGGAUCAACACUGACGCUGAGGCACGAAAGCGUGGGGAGCAAACAGG
rnacentral:rRNA from 1 species